rnacentral:rRNA from 1 species
GGGACUACGGCCGCAAGGUUGAAACUCAAAUGAAUUGACGGGGACCCGCACAAGCGGUGGAGCAUGUGGUUUAAUUCGAUACUAACCGAAGAACCUUACCCAGGUUUGACAUCGAUCGCAAGAUCCCGAAAAGGAUCCCUCCCCCACAAGGGGACGUGAAGACAGAUGUUGCAUGGCUGUCGUCAGCUCGUGCCGUGAGGUGUACGGUUAAGUCCGCCAACGAGCGCAACCCACGUCCUGUGUUACCAGCGAGUAAAGUCGGGCACUCACAGGAGACCGCCGGUGUAAGCCGGAGGAAGGUGUGGAUGAUGUCAAGUCAGCAUGGCUCUUACGCCUGGGGCUACACACAUGCUACAAUGGGAGCAACAAAGGGCAGCAAUACCGCGAGGUGGAGCGAAUCCCAAAAAUACUCCCCCAGUUCAGAUUGCACUCUGCAACUCGAGUGCAUAAAGUCGGAAUCGCUAGUAAACGCAGGUCAGAUAUACUGCGUUGAAUACGUUCCCGGGUCUUGUACACACCGCCCGUCAAGUCACCUGAAUCGUCUUCACCCGAAGUACGUGGCCUAACCGCAAGGAGGGAGCGUCCGAAGGUGAGGGGGGUAAGGGGGACUAAGUCGUAACAAGGUACCCGUACCGGAAGGUGUGGGUGGAUCACCUCCUUAAA